rnacentral:rRNA from 1 species
AAUCAUAAUGGCCGAAAAUCUAAGGUUUCUUGGGGAAGGUUCGUCCGCCCAAGGUUAGUCGGGAGCUAAGCUCAGGCCGAAAGGCGUAGGCGAUGCACAUACGGUUGAUAUUCCGUAACCACCGAAAGCGUUAAACCAGAGGACACAUUCAUUAAUUCUAACCCGGGCGAUGGUUGCCCCGGGCGUAAGGGACCGAAAUAAUAGUAGGGAAGUAGAAGGCGUGAGUGGCGAGAAAAGUCUGGCGUAUUGCUGAGGUGCCCGUACCGCAAACCGACACAGGUAGAUGGGAUGAGUAUUCUAAGGCCAACGGGAGAAUGGUUGUUAAGGAACUCGGCAAAUUGGCCCCGUAACUUCGGAAUAAGGGGCGCCUCUGAGAAGAGGCCGCAGUGAAAAGGCCCAAGCGACUGUUUAGCAAAAACACAGCUCUCUGCUAAAUCGAAAGAUGACGUAUAGGGGGUGACGCCUGCCCGGUGCUGGAAGGUUACGAGGAGGGCUUAGGAGCAAUCCGAAGGUCUGAAUUUAAGCCCCAGUAAACGGCGGCCGUAACUAUAACGGUCCUAAGGUAGCGAAAUUCCUUGUCAGGUAAGUUCUGACCCGCACGAAUGGCGUAACGAUUUGGGCACUGUCUCAACAGCCUACCCGGCGAAAUUGUAGUACCGGUGAAGAUGCCGGUUACCCGCAACUAGACGGAAAGACCCCAUGGAGCUUUACUGCAGCUUAAUACUGAGAUUCGGUAAUUCAUGUACAGGAUAGGUGGGAGACUUAGAAACAGGGUCGUCAGGCACUGCGGAGUCACCCUUGGGAUACCACCCUUGGAUUGCUGGGUUUCUAACCUGCGGCCAUGAAUCUGGUCGGGGGACACUGUUAGGCGGGCAGUUUGACUGGGGCGGUCGCCUCCUAAAAAGUAGCGGAGGCGCUCAAAGCUUGGCUCAGCAUGGAUGGAAAUCAUGCAAUGAGUGUAAACGUAUAAGCCAAGUUGACUGCGAGACCGACGGGUCGAGCAGGUACGAAAGUAGGAGUUAGUGAUCCGGUGGUAUGUGAGUGGAAAUGCCAUCGCUCAACGGAUAAAAGCUACCCUGGGGAUAACAGGCUGAUCUCCCCCAA